CGCCUGUUUAUCAAAAACAUUGUCACAUGNACUCACAAUUAUAUAUGAUACACCCUGCCCAGUGUUUAUUAAACGGCCGCGGUAGCCUGACCGUGCAAAGGUAGCAUAAUAAUUUGCCCAUUAAUUGUGGGCUGGUAUGAACGGGCAAACGAAGAUCUCCCUGUCUCCUUUAAACCCCUAUAAUUUAAUCUUCAUGUGAAGAAGCAUGAAUCAACUCGCAGGACAAGAAGACCCUAUAGAGCUUUAUCUUAAGACCUCUAACCCAAGACAAAUAAGAUUCGGUUGGGGCGACCGAGGACAGAUAAAUCAUCCUGAACCCAAUAAGAUCAACCAAUCCCACACAGACCCUUACCAAAGACCUGAGAAACAAGCUACCUUAGGGAUAACAGGCUGAUUUUCCUUUAGAGCCCUAAUUGGCAGGAAAGUUUGGCACCUCGAUGUUGGCUUAAAGUAAUCUGUGUGGCGCAGCAACUACACAAAGAGGGUUCGUUCAACCCUUAAUUCUCUACGUGAUCUGAGUUCAGACCGGG
rnacentral:rRNA from 1 species